rnacentral:rRNA from 1 species
UACAGAGACUGCAAGCGUUAUUCGGAUUCACUGGGCGUAAAGGGUGCGCAGGCGGUUGUGUGUGGCAGGUGUGAAAGCCCGGGGCUUAACCCCGGAAUUGCGCCUGAAACUACAUGACUAGAGCAUUGGAGAGGGUAGCGGAAUUCACGGUGUAGCAGUGAAAUGCGUAGAUAUCGUGAGGAACACCAGAGGCGAAGGCGGCUACCUGGACAAUUGCUGACGCUCAGGCACGAAAGCGUGGGGAGCAAAAGGG